rnacentral:lncRNA from 1 species
CUCUUCAUCCCUGCAAGCGGCUGACUUCUUCACCAAGCCUCUACCUGCAGCCCAAUUCAAUAUACAUUUUUCCAAGCUAGGAAUGCAGAACAUCUACUCCUAGCUUGAGGGGGGCUGUUAAAACUUUAGGCCAGUUGGGUUGGGCUUUCUGGGCUUUCCUUUUUCUGUUUUUCUGUUUCAUAUAGUGCACCCCCUUUUCUUUUUGCACCGCUUGUAUAUAAACCCUUUUUAGGGUUUUCUGUAUUCACAACUUCAGAUUAAUGAAAUUCUCUUCCUCUCUUUCUCUCACACCGUGCUUCACCUCUCCUCUGUUUCUUCACACCUCGCUGAUUUCUUUCUCUUUGAUCUUUGUAAAUGCUGCAACUACCUCGAAGCACUCCUUUGAUUUAUCUCUGUUAUUUUGCAUCAACCAUUGGAAAAAUAAGAUGAUAAUAAAAUUGGCUCAGUAAGCAAGAUGCAGUAGCGUGCAUCUGUUUGCACCUCUGACAAUUAACGCAACUGAAGAUAAAUUGGC